CAUAGCGAGAAAGAACACAGGGAUUACCUCAGUAACGGCGAGUGAAGCGGUAACAGCUCAAAUUUGAAAGCUAGCUCUUUUAGGGUUCGCAUUGUAAUUUGUAGAAGAUGCUUCGGGUGUGGCCCCGGUCUAAGUUCCUUGGAACAGGACGUCAUAGAGGGUGAGAAUCCCGUAUGUGACUGGGUGCUUUCGCUCAUGUGAAGCUCUUUCGACGAGUCGAGUUGUUUGGGAAUGCAGCUCAAAAUGGGUGGUAAAUUUCAUCUAAAGCUAAAUAUUGGCCAGAGACCGAUAGCGCACAAGUAGAGUGAUCGAAAGAUGAAAAGCACUUUGGAAAGAGAGUUAAACAGUACGUGAAAUUGUUGAAAGGGAAGCGCUUGCAACCAGACUUGCGCGCUGAUGAUCAUCCGGGCUUCUGCCCGGUGCACUCGUCUGCGCUCAGGCCAGCAUCGGUUUUGGUGGUGGGAUAAAGGCCUUGGGAAUGUAGCUUCUUUCGGGGAGUGUUAUAGCCCUCGGUGCAAUGCCGCCUACCGGGACCGAGGACCGCGCUUCGGCUAGGAUGCUGGCGUAAUGGUUGUAAGCGACCCGUCUUGAAACACGGACCAAGGAGUCUAACAUCUAUGCGAGUGUUUGGGUGUCAAACCCAUACGCGUAAUGAAAGUGAACGGAGGUGAGAACCCUUAAGGGUGCAUCAUCGACCGAUCCUGAUGUCUUCGGAUGGAUUUGAGUAAGAGCAUAGCUGUUGGGACCCGAAAGAUGGUGAACUAUGCGUGAAUAGGGUGAAGCCAGAGGAAACUCUGGUGGAGGCUCGCAGCGGUUCUGACGUGCAAAUCGAUCGUCAAAUUUGCGUAUAGGGCGAAAGACUAAUCGA
rnacentral:rRNA from 1 species